rnacentral:misc_RNA from 1 species
GGGGAGUUACAGGACUUCGCCCUUAACAAAUUGAAGGGGAUUGAAGAUGAGCUCAUUAUGAAACUUAAAUCUGCAAUAAAAGAAGUUGCUGAUGGUGAUGAUGAAUAUACAAUGCUUGUUAACUUGAAAAGGUUGUAUGAACUUCAAUUGUCAAGGCAAAUUUCCACUGAAAGCUUGUAUAAAGAUCUUGCAGAGACUCUGAAGAACUUCAGAAGUAUUGAUGACGAGGUAAUUGGAUUUCUGCUUCUUAACAUGCAUCUGCAUGUUUGCUGGUGCCUACACUCUAUCAUCAACUCUGGCACAGUCCUGGAACAAUCUAUAUCUUCCUUAAUUUCAAAACGCAGUGCCUUGUUUGAACUACUUGAGUCCUUCCUGACUACUAAUUCUCCGGAAGGUCUUCGUGCAAGUCAACUUGCAUGUAGGGUUGUGUUAU